rnacentral:rRNA from 1 species
CUGGCUCAGGAUGAACGCUAGCUACAGGCUUAACACAUGCAAGUCGAGGGGCAGCAUGAUCAAGCUUGCUUGAUGAUGGCGACCGGCGCACGGGUGAGUAACGCGUAUCCAACCUUCCCCUUAGUAGGGCAUAGCCCGUAGAAAUGCGGAUUAAUACCCUAUGUUGUUCGAUGCGGACAUCUAAGUUGAACCAAAGGUUUACCGCUAAGGGAUGGGGAUGCGUCUGAUUAGGCAGCAGGCGGGGUAACGGCCCACCUGGCCUACGAUCAGUAGGGGUUCUGAGAGGAAGGUCCCCCACAUUGGAACUGAGACACGGUCCAAACUCCUACGGGAGGCAGCAGUGAGGAAUAUUGGUCAAUGGGCGAGAGCCUGAACCAGCCAAGUAGCGUGCCAGGACGACGGCCCUAUGGGUUGUAAACUGCUUUUAUGCGGGGAUAAAGUGCGGCACGUGUGCCGUUUUGUAGGUACCGCAUGAAUAAGGACCGGCUAAUUCCGUGCCAGCAGCCGC